rnacentral:rRNA from 1 species
CUUUUGCAUCAUGGUUUAGCUAGAUUUAGUUUUCAUAAGAAACUUCUCGAAACCUAAUGGGCUAUUUUCAACCAGCAUUAUUAGAUGCUUUAAAAGUAAUUGUGGCAAAAAUUUUUUUAGAGUUGAAAAUAGAAAUGAAAUUUUAUCCGUAUUAGGUGAUAGCUAGUUUUUCCCUAAAAGUAUAGAA